rnacentral:rRNA from 1 species
UACGUAGGGGGCAAGCGUUGUCCGGAAUCAUUGGGCGUAAAGCGCGUGUAGGCGGUUCGGUAAGUCUGCUGUGAAAGUCCAGGGCUCAACCCUGGGAUGCCGGUGGAUACUGUCGGACUAGAGUACGGAAGAGGCGAGUGGAAUUCCCGGUGUAGCGGUGAAAUGCGCAGAUAUCAGGAGGAACACCGGUGGCGAAGGCGGGUCUCUGGGCCGAUACUGACGCUGAGGAGCGAAAGCGUGGGGAGCGAACAGG